CCGCGUGUGUGAUGAAGGUCUGAGGGUUGUAAAGCACUUUCAAUAGGGAGGAAAACCUGCCGGUUAAUAGCCGGUAGCUUGACAUUACCUAUAGAAGAAGCACCGGCUAACUCCGUGCCAGCAGCCGCGGUAAUACGGAGGGUGCGAGCGUUAAUCGGAAUUACUGGGCGUAAAGCGUACGUAGGCGGUUAAUUAAGUCAGAUGUGAAAGCCCCGGGCUUAACUUGGGAACUGCAUUUGAAACUGGUUAACUAGAGUUGAGUAGAGGGGAGUGGAAUUUCAGGUGUAGCGGUGAAAUGCGUAGAUAUCUGAAGGAACACCAGUGGCGAAGGCGACUCCCUGGACUCAAACUGACGCUGAGGUACGAAAGCGUGGGUAGCAAACAGGAUUAGAUACCCUGGUAGUCCACGCCGUAAACGAUGUCAACUAGCCGUUGGAUCAAACUAUGACUUAGUGGUGCAGCUAACGCAUUAAGUUGACCGCCUGGGGAGUACGGCCGCAAGGUUAAAACUCAAAUGAAUUGACGGGGGCCCGCACAAGCGGUGGAGCAUGUGGUUUAAUUCGAUGCAACGCGAAGAACCUUACCUACCCUUGACAUCCUCAGAACUUGUUAGAGAUAACUUGGUGCCUUCGGGAACUGAGUGACAGGUGCUGCAUGGCUGUCGUCAGCUCGUGUCGUGAGAUGUUGGGUUAAGUCCCGUAACGAGCGCAACCCUUAUCCCUAGUUGCCAGCACAUAAUGGUGGGAACUCUAAGGAGACUGCCGGUGAUAAACCGGAGGAAGGUGGGGACGACGUCAAGUCAUCAUGGCCCUUAUGGGUAGGGCUACACACGUGCUACAAUGGCCGGUACAGAGGGCAGCGACCUCGUGAGAGCAAGCAAAUCUCAGAAAGCCGGUCUUAGUCCGGAUUGCAGUCU
rnacentral:rRNA from 1 species